GACGAACGCUGGCGGCGUGCUUAACACAUGCAAGUCGAACGGAAAGGCCCUGCUUUUGUGGGGUGCUCGAGUGGCGAACGGGUGAGUAACACGUGAGUAACCUGCCCUUGACUUUGGGAUAACUUCAGGAAACUGGGGCUAAUACCGGAUAGGAGCUCCUGCUUCAUGGUGUGGGGUGGAAAGUUUCGGCGGUUGGGGAUGGACUCGCGGCUUAUCAGCUUGUUGGUGGGGUAGUGGCUUACGAAGGCUUGGACGGGUAGCCGGCCUGAGAGGGUGACCGGCCACAUUGGGACUGAGAUACGGCCAAGACUGAUACGGGAGGCAGCAGUGGGGAAUAUUGCGAGCUGGGCGGAAGCCUGAUGCAGCAACGCCGCGUGCGGGAUGACGGCCUUCGGGUUGUAAACCGCUUUCGCCUGUGACGAAGCGUGAGUGACGGUAAUGGGUAAAGAAGCACCGGCUAACUACGUG
rnacentral:rRNA from 1 species